AGAACGAACGCUGGCGGCAGGCCUAACACAUGCAAGUCGAACGCCCGUAGCAAUACGGGAGUGGCAGACGGGUGAGUAACGCGUGGGAACGUACCUUUCGGUUCGGAAUAACCCGGGGAAACUCGGGCUAAUACCGGAUACGUCCGCAAGGAGAAAGAUUUAUCGCCGAAAGAUCGGCCCGCGUCGGAUUAGCUAGUUGGUGAGGUAACGGCCCACAAGGCGACGAUCCGUAGCUGGUCUGAGAGGUUGGCCGUCACAUUGGGACUGAGACACUGCCCAGACUCCGUACGGGGGGCUGCAGUAACGAAUCUUCCGCAAUGCACGAAAGUGUGACGGAGCGACGCCGGCGUGUAGGACGAAGCCCUUGGGGUAGUAAACUCUGUCGAAGGGAAAGAAGUUC
rnacentral:rRNA from 1 species